CGCGGACAUUUCUCCCCCUCCCCAUUUCACUCACCCAUCUCAUGGUUGAGAAAACUGCCUGUGUUUCUCCAGCUGUAGAAUUUGCUUGGAUUUUUAACCAUUUUUCCUUAUGUAGGGUAGCUGAAAUCAAUCAGUAUGUACAAGCCUCAAAUCUCAGGACAGAGAAGUGCCUCAGCUCUGCAAAAGGCAGGGUGCCAAUUGGAAAAAAAAUUUAAAAGGCUUCAGAGUGACCAUUCACUGGGCUUAAUCGAUCCUUGCAAACACAUAUGUAACAGGCCAGGGUCGCCCAGUAGGGCAGCGUAUCGUGUAGGUGGCCAUUUCUCAAAAACAGUGUGGUUUUCAGAAGUUUGCAUACUAUUAGCUGAAAUGAGACAUCAGCCAGCAUUUUGUGUCAUCGUGUAGGAAGAGUGUUGAUUUACAUAUCUAAGGAGGCAUUCACCCAGAGACUGGGGGGUAGAUUUGUUGUAAGGAGCUGCUUUAUUGUGGUUUGGUGUUUGUAUUUAUUAUGUAGCUGUGCUAGAAGGUUCUAGGGUCUGAGCGGUUCAGGUUGGGGUGAAGAUGAACCCUGCAAGCAGGAGCACAUCUCUGCCCAGGAAGGCUGGGGCAUCUGUCCCUCCGUGAGGGGCUCUCCUGGGUUAUGCCAAGGACUUGGACUCCCAGUGAGGUUUGGAGGGCUCAAGAGCUUCACGUGAGAAGGCCAUGCCGUGAGCCUUUCUCCUUAGCACUGCUCUAGCUUCUGCUUCUGGGGGCCGUGCACACUACUAGCCAUUGCCAACCUGAGGGGCCUCUGUGGGUGUGCAUUGGGAGAGGUGUAUGGU
rnacentral:lncRNA from 1 species